GGGGCUGUUUUUGGACUUGACAAAAUUAUUGAAAACUAAAGUGCAUGCCGAGGUACGGUUUGCCUCGUUAAAAACCGUAAAAUAUAGUAGCAAAACAACACAACUAUGCUUUAGCAGCUUAAUAACCUGUAUUAAAGCCCUCUUUUUAUUUUUCUCUUGAAAUAAAAUAUAUAGAGGUCAUAAAAGAGAUCGCAAAUUUUAUUUUUGCUUAUAAAUUAAGUUUGUUAAAAUAUAAUAAGCAUACAUCUAUUACGAGUCUAUACGUUUAUAGAAAUUUAAAUUCCCAAAAUAGACUAAGCAUGUAGCGCUAAAGUGGUAAAAAUUUUGGACGCGGGUUCGAAUCCCGCCAGCUCCAUAA
rnacentral:tmRNA from 1 species